UACGUAGGCAGCGAGCGUUGUUCGGAGUUACUGGGCGUAAAGAGUGCGUAGGCGGUUUUCUAAGUUUGGUGUGAAAUCUCCCGGCUUAACUGGGAGGGUGCGCCGAAGACUGGAAGGCUUGAGUAUGGGAGAGGUAAGCGGAAUUCCUGGUGUAGCGGUGAAAUGCGUAGAUAUCAGGGGGAACACCUGCGGUGUAGACGGCUUACUGGACCAUAACUGACGCUGAGGCACGAAAGCGUGGGGAGCAAACAGG
rnacentral:rRNA from 1 species